rnacentral:tRNA from 1 species
GCCCAGCUGGCGGAACUGGUAGACGCGUCGGUCUCAAACACCGAUAGGAAACUGUGCCGGUUCGAUUCCGGCGCUGGGUACUA